UCAGGACGAACGCUGGCGGCGUGCUUAACACAUGCAAGUCGAGCGAUGAAGCUCCUCGGGAGUGGAUAGCGGCGGACGGGUGAGUAACACGUGGGUAACCUGCCUCAUAGAGGGGAAUAGCCUUUCGAAAGGAAGAUUAAUACCGCAUAAGAUUGUAGUACCGCAUGGUACAGCAAUUAAAGGAGUAAUCCGCUAUGAGAUGGACCCGCGUCGCAUUAGCUAGUUGGUGAGGUAACGGCUCACCAAGGCGACGAUGCGUAGCCGACCUGAGAGGGUGAUCGGCCACAUUGGGACUGAGACACGGCCCAGACUCCUACGGGAGGCAGCAGUGGGGAAUAUUGCACAAUGGGGGAAACCCUGAUGCAAGCAACGCCGCGUGAGUGAUGACGGUCUUCGGAUUGUAAAGCUCUGUCUUUAGGGACGAUAAUGACGGUACCUAAGGAGGAAGCCACGGCUAACUACGUGCCAGCAGCCGC
rnacentral:rRNA from 1 species